rnacentral:rRNA from 1 species
UGGGGAAUAUUGGACAAUGGGGGGAACCCUGAUCCAGCCAUGCCGCGUGUGUGAAGAAGGCCUUUUGGUUGUAAAGCACUUUAAGCGAGGAGGAGGCUACCGAGAUUAAUACUCUUGGAUAGUGGACGUUACUCGCAGAAUAAGCACCGGCUAACUCUGUGCCAGCAGCCGCGGUAAUACAGAGGGUGCAAGCGUUAAUCGGAAUUACUGGGCGUAAAGCGCGCGUAGGUGGCCAAUUAAGUCAAAUGUGAAAUCCCCGAGCUUAACUUGGGAAUUGCAUUCGAUACUGGUUGGCUAGAGUAUGGGAGAGGAUGGUAGAAUUCCAGGUGUAGCGGUGAAAUGCGUAGAGAUCUGGAGGAAUACCGAUGGCGAAGGCAGCCAUCUGGCCUAAUACUGACACUGAGGUGCGAAAGCAUGGGGAGCAAACAGG